rnacentral:rRNA from 1 species
CCUACGGGAGGCUGCAGUGGGGAAUAUUGGACAAUGGGGGCAACCCUGAUCCAGCCAUGCGGCGGGUGUGAAGAAGGCCCUCGGGUUGUAAAGCACUUUCAGUGAGGAAGAACGCCUGGUGGUUAAUACCCAUCAGGAAAGACAUCACUCACAGAAGAAGCACCGGCUAACUCCGUGCCAGCAGCCGCGGUAAUACGGAGGGUGCGAGCGUUAAUCGGAAUUACGGGGCGUAAAGCGCGCGUAGGUGGCUUGAUAAGCCGGUUGUGAAAGCCCCGGGCUCAACCUGGGAACGGCAUCCGGAACUGUCAAGCUAGAGUGCAGGAGAGGAAGGUAGAAUUCCCGGUGUAGCGGUGAAAUGCGUAGAGAUCGGGAGGAAUACCAGUGGCGAAGGCGGCCUUCUGGACUGACACUGACACUGAGGUGCGAAAGCGUGGGUAGCAAACAGGAUUAGAUACCCGGGUAGUC